rnacentral:rRNA from 1 species
CCGCGGUAAUACGAAGGGGGCGAGCGUUAUUCGGAAUUAUUGGGCGUAAAGGGCUCGCAGGCUGCUUGAACAGUUAGACGUGAAAUCCCCGGGCUCAACCUGGGAACUGCGUUUAAUACUAGCAAGCUAGAGUAAUAGAGAGGAAAGUGGAAUUCCCAGUGUAGAGGUGAAAUUCGUAGAUAUUGGGAGGAACACCAGUGGCGAAAGCGGCUUUCUGGCUAUUUACUGACGCUGAGGAGCGAAAGCGUGGGGAGCAAACAGGAUUAGAUACCCUGGUAGUCCACGCCGUAAACGAUGUGUGCUAGAUGUUGGAGGGAUACCUUUCAGUGUCGCAGCUAACGCACUAAGCACACCGCCUGGGAAGUACGGUCGCAAGAUUAAAACUCAAAGGA